rnacentral:precursor_RNA from 1 species
AAUAGCGUAUAUUAAGUUGCUGCAGUUAAAAAGCUCGUAGUUGGAUUUCUGACUUGAAACAUUUAGCCGGCCACGGUUUCGUGUGUUAGUGCUUGAUGUUCUGGCCAUCCUUCCAAUUGCUAUUCAUCUUUCUUCAUUGAUGGGUGAGUGGUAUUGGAUCUUUUACUUUGAAAAAAUUAGAGUGUUUCAAGCAGGCUUAAUGCUAUGAAUACAUUAGCAUGGAAUAAUAAUUUAGGACUUCGGUUCUAUUUUGUUGGUUUCUAGGACUGAAGUAAUGAUUGAUAGGGAUAGUUGGGGGUGCUAGUAUUCAGCGGCCAGAGGUGAAAUUCUCGGAUUUGCUGAAGACUAACUUAUGCGAAAGCAUUCACCAAGGAUGUCUUCUUUAAUCAAGAACGAAAGUUGGGGGAUCGAAGACGAUCAGAUACCGUCGUAGUCUCAACCAUAAACUAUGCCGACUAGGGAUGAGUGAACGUUGCAUUUUCGACUUCAUUCGCACCUUAUGAGAAAUCAAAGUCUUUGGGUUCCGGGGGGAGUAUGGUCGCAAGGCUGAAACUUAAAGGAAUUGACGGAAGGGCACCACCAGGAGUGGAGCCUGCGGCUUAAUUUGACUCAACACGGGAAAACUUACCAGGUCCAGACACAGUAAGGAUUGACAGAUUGAAGAUCUUUCUUGAU